UCAAAUAAAAUUGUUCUUCACAGACGUGAGGCUUUGAUCGCGUUAGCGAAGAAGGAAAUUAAAUAGCUGGGCAGAAUGUUUAAAAGGGUCUAAUUCACGAAUUUUAGUCUAAUUUUCUCCAUUGUUAGGCGAUUUUGAAGCUUUUUGAAGAGGGUUGAAGAGGGACUCGAGGGGAAUCAUUUGGAGGUAACAUUUUUUACAACAUAACUCAUUUUUAUGUGAUUGAAUACCUAAUUAAUGGGGAGAAAUUUUGGAAAAAUGGGUAAUUAGGGUUUGGGUUAGGAGGCCUUUAAAUGAGGAUUUGAGGGGUCAUUUGAACUCCGAUAUUCGUACUCUUUAUAUGCAUAAUUCUUGAGAUAGUGAGGUUUUCAAAAAUAUAAAUUUCACCCGAUUCGGAGAUGUUGGCCUGAGGGGCAUUUUGUCAUUGUACAUAAUCUAGCGUAUUAGCUUAGAAUUUAAUUGUAGGAUUAGCUUCUAGAAGUAUUAUUUACAUUAUGAAAUGGAAUUGAAUAGAUUUGGG
rnacentral:lncRNA from 1 species